UGACUGAGUUACUGUACGGACAGGUUACACCUGUACUACACCACAUGACAUAGUUACUGUACGGACAGGUUACACCUGUACUACACCACAUGACUGAGUUACUGUACGGACAGGUUACACCUGUACUACACCACAUGACUGAGUUACUGUACGGACAGGUAACACCUGUACUACACUACAUGACUGAGUUACUGUACGGACAGGUUACACCUGUACUACACCACAUGACUGAGUUACUGUACGGACACAACACCUGUACUACACCACAUGACUGAGUUACUGUACGGACAGGUAACACCUGUACUACACCACAUGACUGAGUUACUGUACGGACAGGUUACACCUGUACUACACCACAUGACAUAGUUACUGUACGGACAGGUUACACCUGUACUACACCACAUGACUGAGUUACUGUAUGGACAGGUAACACCUGUACUACACCACAUGACUGAGUUACUGUACGGACAGGUUACACCUGUACUACACCACAUGACUGAGUUACUGUACGGACAGGUUACACCUGUACUACACCACAUGACUGAGUUACUGUACGGACAGGUAACACCUGUACUACACUACAUGACUGAGUUACUGUACGGACAGGUUACACCUGUACUACACCACAUGACUGAGUUACUGUACGGACACAACACCUGUACUACACCACAUGACUGAGUUACUGUACGGACAGGUAACACCUGUACUACACCACAUGACUGAGUUACUGUACGGACAGGUUACACCUGUACUACACCACAUGACUGAGUUACUGUACGGACAGGUUACACCUGUACUACACCACAUGACUGAGUUACUGUACGGACACAACACCUGUACUACACCACAUGACUGAGUUACUGUACGGACAGGUUACACCUGUACUACACCACAUGACUGAGUUACUGUACGGACAGGUUACACCUGUACUACACCACAUGACUGAGUUACUGUACGGACAGGUUACACCUGGACCUCUGGCCAGGUAAACACUAUUGCAAGUUAGUCCCAAAUGGCCCUCUAUUCCCUCGAAAGUGCGCUUCUGUUGACCAGAUUGCUACGGGUUAGUCCUACGGGCCCUGGUCUAAAGUAGUGUACUGUAUAGGAAAUGUAGUGCCAUUUUGGACACAUACCAUGUUCUGAGAACCACCUCGCUGACCGUUCACACUAGAUCCCUCCCUCCCUCCACACAGUUAGUCAGUACCUAGCUCACAGUUGAAGUCCUCCCUCCCUCCCUCCCUCCCUCCCUCCCUC
rnacentral:lncRNA from 1 species